GGGGGCCCUCCACUUGAUACUCUUAUUAUGUAUUCUUUACAUUUCAAGUUUUUCGGAAACGAUGGGAGAUAAUACGAUCGACAUCUACUACUUCCCUAUGAGUCCUCCUGCAAGAUCAGCCCUUAUGACCAUGAAGGUUCUCGGAUUGAAGUACAACAUCAAGACGGUUAACAUACCCGAAGGGGAGCAAAUGAAUCCAGACUUCAUCAAGAUCAACCCCCUUCAUCAAAUACCAGUUAUAAAUGAUGGUGGAUUUAUACUUUCAGAUAGCGUGGCUAUAUUGAAGUACCUAGUUGACUCAUACGCCAAGGAUGACAGUCUAUUUCCCAAAGACCCAAAAACAGGGGCAAUCACACUGCAGAGGAUGUUGUUCAUAUCGACGUAUAUGUUCCCAAGAAUGGGAGACUACAUGGCAGGUGUUAUAUUCCAUGGAGGAGCAGAUGAUCCUGAAAAGGCGAAAAAACUGGAAGAAGCGAUUAGUCAUCUAAAUAACUACAUCGGAGACAAUCAUUGGGUAGCUGGCGACAAAAUGACAGUAGCUGACAUUAUAGCCAUAGCUAAUGUCGCCACAGUUGAUGCGAGUGGGGUUUAUGACCUGAAAGCUUACCCCAAUCUUUGGCAGUGGUACGAAAGGACAAAGGAAGCUUUAUCAUCGGCAGGUUAUGAGGAAGUCAUUCAAAAAGGUGCGGAGAUGUUUGGGCAAGCUUUCAAAAGCGCCUUGCAUUAGGUAAUAAUCGUAUACACU
rnacentral:misc_RNA from 1 species